rnacentral:rRNA from 1 species
UACAGAGGUCUCGAGCGUUAGGCGGAAUCACUGGGCUUAAAGCGUGUGUAGGCGGAUCGUUAAGUGCCUUGUGAAAUCCCACGGCUCAACCGUGGAACUGCUUGGCAUACUGGCGGUCUUGAGCAACCUAGGGGCGAGCGGAACAAGUGGUGGAGCGGUGAAAUGCGUAGAUAUCACUUGGAACGCCAAUGGUGAAGACAGCUCGCUGGGGGUGUCCUGACGCUGAGGCGCGAAAGCCAGGGGAGCGAACGGG